AACGAACGCUGGCGGCAGGCUUAACACAUGCAAGUCGAGCGCCCCGCAAGGGGAGCGGCAGACGGGUAAGUAACGCGUGGGAAUCUACUCAUCUCUACGGAAUAACGCAUGGAAACGUGUGCUAAUACCGUAUACGUCCUUCGGGAGAAAGAUUUAUCGGGGAUGGAUGAGCCCGCGUUGGAUUAGCUAGUUGGUGGGGUAAAGGCCUACCAAGGCGACGAUCCAUAGCUGGUCUGAGAGGAUGAUCAGCCACACUGGGACUGAGACACGGCCCAGACUCCUACGGGAGGCAGCAGUGGGGAAUAUUGGACAAUGGGCGCAAGCCUGAUCCAGCCAUGCCGCGUGAGUGAUGAAGGCCCUAGGGCUGUAAAGCUCAUUCACCGGUGAAGAUAAUGACGGUAACCGGAGAAGAAGCCCCGGCUAACUUCGUGCCAGCAGCCGCGGUAACAC
rnacentral:rRNA from 1 species